CUGAUUCCAAAACGCAUCCCGUUCUGAGAUUCCGACCCCUCUCCCCACCUCAUCUCGGGCCAGGCCCCUUGGCUUCCCUCUGGGAUGCUGCGGCCCAGCCUGUGGUGGGCCUUCGCCCCUAACCCUGCGGCCUUUGUCUGAGCGGCAAGCAGAGGGAACUUUUAAAAGCAGCCAACCCCAGCUUCUCCUCCCUGCCACCUUCUCCGUCAUCCUCUCUCCCCUUUGUUGCAGCCCAGCUCCCCGAACCCUCGGGACUCACCACCACAGGCCCUUUCCCCGUGGCUCUUCCUGGGGCUGGGGUGCUGCUCCCCAACCCUUCCAACUUCUCUUUGGGACUCCCCAGUCCUCUGAGAGGCCUCACCCUCUCCAGCACACUCCACCCCGUCUUUCCUUUAUUGUCUUUGUAGCCUACUUCCGAAAACCACUGCUUUCCCUGUCCUGAGCCUUCCUUUCUUUGGAUCUUGGGCACCCUGAAAAUCCUUAGUCAGGGCCCCACGAUGGGUCCAGUGAGCACCAAAGAAGAGCUCAAUAAAUAUUUGCACAAUGAGAAGGCAUUGGAGAAUUCUUAGUCCAAGUAGCAAGAAAACAGUCCCAGGAAGCCUGGGGUCCCAGAGUGGCCCACACCCCCUGAUUUGCUGUGUGACCCAAGGUGGUAGAACCCCUUCUCUGGUCCUCCUCCAGAGAAAGGGAAAAUGAAUUGACCUCCAGGGUACCCUUCCCUGCCCUUGGUGCCUGGGAACUCCAUUAACCCCUUCUUCCCCAGCCCAGCUAUGGCUUCCAGGAGAGGAACUCCAGGUCUCUCUGUCCUCCUGUCGCCGGUCACCUGGCCCGAUCCCCUCGGCCAAAGCUGGGCCCCGAUUGCUUUAUUUGGAAAUAGAGCGAUGCUACCAGUGCUCGUCCCCUACCUUGGUUGCAAGAAAUGUUUGUUUGCAAUCCAUGAACGACAGCCACUGUGAAAGGUUAGGCGCUGGGGACUCAAGAGUUGGCAUGUGUGGGCUUGAAUCCUGCUCUGCCCAGAGUCGGGGAGCCUGGUUUUCCUACGUGUGACAUGGGGACAAGGUGGGUCACAACUUGCA